AACGAACGCUGGCGGCAGGCCUAACACAUGCAAGUCGAGCGAGCAUUUCGGUGCUAGCGGCGGACGGGUGAGUAACGCGUGGGAACGUGCCCUUUUCUGCGGAAUAGUCCUGGGAAACUGGGGGUAAUACCGCAUACGCCCUUUUGGGGAAAGAUUUAUCGGAGAAGGAUCGGCCCGCGUUGGAUUAGGUAGUUGGUGGGGUAAUGGCCCACCAAGCCGACGAUCCAUAGCUGGUUUGAGAGGAUGAUCAGCCACACUGGGACUUAGACACGGCCCAGACUCCUACGGGAGGCAGCAGUGGGGAAUCUUAGACAAUGGGGGCAACCCUGAUCGAGCCAUGCCGCGUGAGUGAUGAAGGCCUUAGGGUUGUAAAGCUCUUUCAGCUGGGAAGAUAAUGACGGUACCAGCAGAAGAAGCCCCGGCUAACUCCGUG
rnacentral:rRNA from 1 species